AGACGGUCCAAUUAUGAAUCAAUACUGCUCUUUGGCAAGAGAAUCUAGCAUAUGGCUAUCACUUGGAGGCUUUCAAGAAAAGGGACCCGAUGAUCAACAUUUCUAUAACACACAUGUCAUAGUUGACGACACUGGAACCAUCAGGAGCAGUUAUAGGAAAAUACACCUGUUUGAUGUCGACAUUCCUGGUGGAAGAGUAUAUAAAGAAA
rnacentral:misc_RNA from 1 species